UACGAAGGGGGCUAGCGUUGUUCGGAAUCACUGGGCGUAAAGGGCGCGUAGGCGGCUUGAUAAGUCGGUGGUGAAAGCCUGUGGCUCAACCACAGAAUUGCCUUCGAUACUGUCGAGCUUGAGACCGGAAGAGGUAAGUGGAACUGCGAGUGUAGAGGUGAAAUUCGUAGAUAUUCGCAAGAACACCAGUGGCGAAGGCGGCUUACUGGUCCGGUUCUGACGCUGAGGCGCGAAAGCGUGGGGAGCAAACAGG
rnacentral:rRNA from 1 species